GGGUUGUGAGGUUAAGCGACUAAGCGUACACGGUGGAUGCCCUGGCAGUCAGAGGCGAUGAAGGACGUGCUAAUCUGCGAAAAAGCGUCGGUAAGGUGAUAUGAACCGUUAUAACCGGCGAUGUCCGAAUGGGGAAACCCAGUGCAAUUCGUUGCACUAUCGUUAACUGAAUACAUAGGUUAACGAGGCGAACCGGGGGAACUGAAACAUCUAAGUACCCCCGAGGAAAAGAAAUCAACCGAGAUUCCCCAGUAGCGGCGAGCGAACGGGGAGCAGCCCAGAGUCUGAAUCAGCUUGUGUGUUAGUGGAACGGUCUGGAAAGUCCGACGGUACAGGGUGAUAGUCCCGUACACCAAAAUGCACAGGCUGUGAACUCGAAGAGUAGGGCGGGACACGUGGUAUCCUGUCUGAAUAUGGGGGACCAUCCUCCAAGGCUAAAUACUCCUGACUGACCGAUAGUGAACCAGUACCGUGAGGGAAAGGCGAAAAGAACCCCGGCGAGGGGAGUGAAAAAGAACCUGAAACCGUGUACGUACAAGCAGUGGGAGCACCUUCGGGUGUGACUGCGUACCUUUUGUAUAAUGGGUCAGCGACUUAUAUUCUGUAGCAAGGUUAACCGUAUAGGGGAGCCGCAGGGAAACCGAGUCUUAACUGGGCGUUAAGUUGCAGGGUAUAGACCCGAAACCCGGUGAUCUAGCCAUGGGCAGGUUGAAGGUUGGGUAACACUAACUGGAGGACCGAACCGACUAAUGUUGAAAAAUUAGCGGAUGACUUGUGGCUGGGGGUGAAAGGCCAAUCAAACCGGGAGAUAGCUGGUUCUCCCCGAAAGCUAUUUAGGUAGCGCCUCGUGAAUUCAUCUUCGGGGGUAGAGCACUGUUUCGGCUAGGGGGUCAUCCCGACUUACCAACCCGAUGCAAACUACGAAUACCGAAGAAUGUUAUCACGGGAGACACACGGCGGGUGCUAACGUCCGUCGUGAAGAGGGAAACAACCCAGACCGCCAGCUAAGGUCCCAAAGUCAUGGUUAAGUGGGAAACGAUGUGGGAAGGCACAGACAGCCGGGAUGUUGGCUUAGAAGCAGCCAUCAUUUAAAGAAAGCGUAAUAGCUCACUGGUCGAGUCGGCCUGCGCGGAAGAUGUAACGGGGCUAAACCAUGCACCGAAGCUGCGGCAGCGACACUAUGUGUUGUUGGGUAGGGGAGCGUUCUGUAAGCCUGCGAAGGUGACCUGUGAGGGUUGCUGGAGGUAUCAGAAGUGCGAAUGCUGACAUAAGUAACGAUAAAGCGGGUGAAAAGCCCGCUCGCCGGAAGACCAAGGGUUCCUGUCCAACGUUAAUCGGGGCAGGGUGAGUCGACCCCUAAGGCGAGGCCGAAAGGCGUAGUCGAUGGGAAACAGGUUAAUAUUCCUGUACUUGGUGUUACUGCGAAGGGGGGACGGAGAAGGCUAUGUUAGCCGGGCGACGGUUGUCCCGGUUUAAGCAUGUAGGCUGGUUAUCCAGGCAAAUCCGGAUAAUCAAGGCUGAGGUGUGAUGACGAGGCACUACGGUGCUGAAGUAACAAAUGCCCUGCUUCCGGGGAAAAGCCUCUAAGCAUCAGGUAACAUCAAAUCGUACCCCAAACCGACACAGGUGGUCAGGUAGAGAAUACCAAGGCGCUUGAGAGAACUCGGGUGAAGGAACUAGGCAAAAUGGUGCCGUAACUUCGGGAGAAGGCACGCUGGUGUGUAGGUGAAGUCCCUGCGGAUGGAGCUGAGACCAGUCGAAGAUACCAGCUGGCUGCAACUGUUUAUUAAAAACACAGCACUGUGCAAACACGAAAGUGGACGUAUACGGUGUGACGCCUGCCCGGUGCCGGAAGGUUAAUUGAUGGGGUUAUCCGUAAGGAGAAGCUCUUGAUCGAAGCCCCGGUAAACGGCGGCCGUAACUAUAACGGUCCUAAGGUAGCGAAAUUCCUUGUCGGGUAAGUUCCGACCUGCACGAAUGGCGUAAUGAUGGCCAGGCUGUCUCCACCCGAGACUCAGUGAAAUUGAACUCGCUGUGAAGAUGCAGUGUACCCGCGGCAAGACGGAAAGACCCCGUGAACCUUUACUAUAGCUUGACACUGAACAUUGAGCCUUGAUGUGUAGGAUAGGUGGGAGGCUUUGAAGCGUGGACGCCAGUCUGCGUGGAGCCAACCUUGAAAUACCACCCUUUAAUGUUUGAUGUUCUAACGUUGGCCCCUGACCGGGGUUGCGGACAGUGUCUGGUGGGUAGUUUGACUGGGGCGGUCUCCUCCCAAAGCGUAACGGAGGAGCACGAAGGUUAGCUAAUCUGGUCGGACAUCAGGAGGUUAGUGCAAUGGCAUAAGCUAGCUUGACUGCGAGCGUGACGGCGCGAGCAGGUGCGAAAGCAGGUCAUAGUGAUCCGGUGGUUCUGAAUGGAAGGGCCAUCGCUCAACGGAUAAAAGGUACUCCGGGGAUAACAGGCUGAUACCGCCCAAGAGUUCAUAUCGACGGCGGUGUUUGGCACCUCGAUGUCGGCUCAUCACAUCCUGGGGCUGAAGUAGGUCCCAAAGGGUAUGGCUGUUCGCCAUUUAAAGUGGUACGCGAGCUGGGUUUAGAACGUCGUGAGACAGUUCGGUCCUAUCUGCCGUGGGCGCUGGAGAAUUGAGGGGGGCUGCUCCUAGUACGAGAGGACCGGAGUGGACGCAUCACUGGUGUUCGGGUUGUCAUGCCAAUGGCACUGCCCGGUAGCUAAAUGCGGAAGAGAUAAGUGCUGAAAGCAUCUAAGCACGAAACUUGCCCCGAGAUGAGUUCUCCCUGAGACUUUAAGUCUCCUGAAGGAACGUUGAAGACGACGACGUUGAUAGGCCGGGUGUGUAAGCGCAGCGAUGCGUUGAGCUAACCGGUACUAAUGAACCGUGAGGCUUAACCUUACAACGCCGAAG
rnacentral:rRNA from 1 species